AUUGAACGAGGGAGGAAGGAGGUACACAAGCAAGUCGAACGGCAGCGCGGGCUUCGGCCUGGCGGCGAGUGGCGAACGGGUGAGUAAUGCAUCGGAACGUGCCCAGUAGUGGGGGAUAGCCCGGCGAAAGCCGGAUUAAUACCGCAUACGACCUGAGGGUGAAAGCGGGGGACCGAAAGGCCUCGCGCUAUUGGAGCGGCCGAUGUCGGAUUAGCUAGUUGGUGGGGUAAAGGCUUACCAAGGCGACGAUCCGUAGCUGGUCUGAGAGGACGACCAGCCACACUGGGACUGAGACACGGCCCAGACUCCUACGGGAGGCAGCAGUGGGGAAUUUUGGACAAUGGGGGCAACCCUGAUCCAGCCAUGCCGCGUGCGGGAAGAAGGCCUUCGGGUUGUAAACCGCUUUUGUUCGGGAAGAAAUCCUCUGGGCUAAUACCCCGGGGGGAUGACGGUACCGGAAGAAUAAGCACCGGCUAACUACGUG
rnacentral:rRNA from 1 species